GACGAACGCUGGCGGCGUGCUUAACACAUGCAAGUCGAACGGAAAGGCCCUGCUUUUGUGGGUUGCUCGAGUGGCGAACGGGUGAGUAACACGUGAGUAACCUGCCCUUGACUUUGUGAUAACUUCAGGAAACUGGGGCUAAUACCGGAUAGGAGCUCCUGCUGCAUGUUGGGGGUUGGAAAGUUUCGGCGGUUGGGGCUGGUCUCGCGGGUUAUCAGCUUGUUUGUGGGGUAGUGGCUUUCCAAGGCUUUGACGGGUAGCCGGCCUGAGAGGGUGACCGGCGACAUUGGGACUAAGAUACGGCGCAGUAGCGAACGGGAGGCAGCGGGGGGGAGUAUUGCAGAAUGGGCGGAAGCCUGAGGCGGCAACGCUGCGUGCGGGAUGACGGGCUUCGGGUGGUAAACAGCUGUCGAAGGUGACGAAGAGUGAGUGACGGUAAUGGGUAAAGAAGCACCGGCUAACUACGUG
rnacentral:rRNA from 1 species